GUGUCAGCAGCCGCGGUAAUACAGAGGGUGCGAGCGUUAAUCGGAAUUACUGGGCGUAAAGCGUGCGUAGACGGUUAUUUAAGUCGGGUGUGAAAGCCCCGGGCUCAACCUGGGAAUUGCAUUCGAGACUGAAUAGCUAGGGUACGGUAGAGGGAAGCGGAAUUUCCGGUGUAGCGGUGAAAUGCGUAGAUAUCGGAAGGAACAUCAGUGGCGAAAGCGGCUUCCUGGACCAGUACCGACGUUCAGGCACGAAAGCGUGGGGAGCAAACAGGAUUAGAUACCCCCGUAGUCC
rnacentral:rRNA from 1 species